rnacentral:rRNA from 1 species
CCUACGGGAGGCAGCAGUGGGGAAUAUUGGGCAAUGGGCGCAAGCCUGACCCAGCAACGCCGCGUGAAGGAAGACGGCUUUCGGGUUGUAAAAUUCUUUUGACAGGGAAGAGUACAUGACGGUACCUGUCGAAUAAGACACGGCUAACUACGUGCCAGUCGCCGAGGUAAUACGCAGGUGGCAAGCGUUGUCCGGAUUUACUGGGGGUAAAGGGCGUGUAGCCGGGUUGACAAGUCAGAUGUGAAAUCCUGCGGCUUAACCGCAGAACUGCAUUUGAAACUGUUGAUCUUGAGUACUGGAGAGGCAGACGGAAUUCGUAGUGUAGCGGUGAAAUGCGUAGAUAUUAGGAGGAACACCAGUGGCGAAGGCGGUCUGCUGGACAGCAACUGACGGUGAGGCGCGAAAGCGUGGGGAGCAAACAGGAUUAGAUACCCCGGUAGUC